CUCCAGGUGUCUCCUCGCACGCGAGAGAAUCGAACGUCAAAAAAACUUACGAAAAAAACCAACGAAAAAAAGUCGACGACUCGCACGCAAGGGCGAGCGAGCGAGGCCUCCCCCUCGAUCCCCAACCAGGUCACAGAUCCCUUUGCCCCUGCCCUCGCACUCGCAUCAAGCCGCCGCCUCCAGAGCGUCCUCGAUCCUUGCGCUACCUCCCUUCUCCGCCGGCGAUCUCUUUGCAAAUGCUGAUCCGCUUCAUGGCCGCCACCGCUCCUUCUCGUCUAUACAGCGACUGCCGGUCUCCACCACCAACGCCAUAUCAUUUCCUCAUCGUUCUGGAGCGGCGACACGCAGGUGAUGGCGACCUAUGUAGGCACCCAUAAUUCGUGGAAGAGAACCCACAGCAACUACAGAAGAAAAGAAGUUGGGAUCUGAGAGAUCUGGAGAGCUUAGUGUAAAAGUAAAUCAGGCAAGCCCUUUUCCUCUGAAGAAGUUAUAUUGAGACAAACGAAUGCCCUGCUGUCCAAUCACUUGCCACCAAAGAUUGUUGAAGUAGUGUGCCGCAAGCUGACUCCCUUACAGAUGACACUGUACAACCACUUCACACACUCCAAAAAUGUUAAGCGCUUGAUAUCUGAAGAAGCAAAGAGUACUAAAGUUUUGGCAUAUAUUACUGCCCUUAAGAAAUUAUGCAACCAUCCGAAGAACUUAUUAUGCCCACGACCACUGCCAUGGACUUUGUGGCCAGCCUGCUUAUCCUUGAUGUGGCUACAAUGCGCGAACCAGUGUUCGACUUUGAACGCCGACAUGGAUGGCGGCCUCAAGUGCUACACCAUCUUCUUGGAUAUGUGGAGAGGCUUUUUGCACUGCAGUUCAAGACAUACUGUAGAUUACAUGGCUAAAGAAAAUUAUUUACGAUUAAUAAAUCAUGUUCUUGCUAAAUUAUUAAGUGUUCAAGCAUGCCUACUAUGAUCCCGUGCUUCCUCUUUGUGUAUGGCUUGCUGUGAAAAUACUAAACAUAACAUGUGCUUGAUUAAUUCAGUAUACUACUUCUCUUAAGAAGGUUAGGGUCAACGAGGAAGCACAUAACUGUGUUUGAUGCAUUCUUCAGGUUGAGGGUCUGAUAAUGGACUUAACACAACUGCUGGAGAGAGAUUAAAAUAUUGAAUAUGGUAGCAGAGGAGGAAACUGAAGUUGGUAGAUUAAUAGAGCGAGAGUUCCAGACCCAGGUUACUCCAAGAACAAGUGCAUUAUAUUUCUGUGUAUCCAGUAGCUUAUGCAGCCCAUAAUUACUUUACCAACAGAUUCAUGAUUGGGAGAAGUAGCUAAAGGUUAGAAUUGCAGCAUCUGAGCGUGUCCAUUAUCCAGCAGACUAUAAAAGGUCAUAAGUUUUGAUUGUGUGCCCAUUUAUGUGCACAUGGGUAAAAGAUCCUUGGACAUUUUUAUUUUUUUAGAUCUCUGGAGCACCUUGAGGUAGCAAUCCAGCCUACAAUGUCACAUUUUCAAGUGAUGCAGAGAAACAAGACAAAUAACUACGAAGUAGUAGAUCAUAGAAAGGACUGGUGUCAAUUGAUCAGUCAUAGUCAAAGAAUGAUAUGGAAAUUAAACUAAGCACGACAUGUCGGAAUAAUAGCAGAACCAGAGCAAGAGAAAAAAGUUGAUUAGCAGGUCGACAGUGAUGCCUGCUAAGAGAGAAUCCACACGUCCAUCCUUUUGCCACUGCUGAAGCCCCACAUCCUCGAUCUCGACACGCUUGCCUGCCAUCCUGGCCAACGUCCUCGCUAUGGCCCCCAAGCCACGCAACCACCUCGCCAGCUGUUGCUAGAGCCGAGCGCGUUGGCAGACUCCGCACCCAAGGUAAUACUUUCAGUCACGCUU